rnacentral:rRNA from 1 species
GAGGUCAGCGCGGUGGGCGGCCGCUGGUUGUAGCGGGUAGCGGACGGAGGCAGCACGUGCCCUGACCUAUACGGGGGGGCCGUGGAGAAGGAGGGGACGGGGGCGCGUACCUUCGAUCACUGACGGCGGUAAGCUACGAGACGAGGUAGUUGAAGUUGGUGGCCGAGUACUCCACGUGCAGUACACAAACGAUUUAACUGAGUCACGUCACCUCGUGGUAAAAAUGAAACAAAGUACAAGUAAACAUCCAUCGAGCAAGAACGGUUUACAACAUCGAAUCUACUGAAGCUUUACAAAUAGCACACACACGAUGACAGCGCACGAUCAGGCUCUUAAGGAUAGCAGUGUAUUCAGGUACAUAACGAUGGUACCCUCAAGUUUCUUUAAGGAGAUUGUGCGUGGCACGGGGCCGGGGUACAAGGCCGUAGCGGGAGGUGUCGGAGUCACACGUCCGGCAAGUGGAGACGGUGGGUCCGGUAAGUGGAGACGGUGGCUACAGGCAAGUUACGGUGGUCCUCUUGGGACACGCAGUUGUGGGGACAGUUGGGGCACGCUGAAACAAGAGAGUCGAAUUUUUUCCCAAUCAAGUCUUGAAACUUGUGGGUCUCCAAGUCAAGUCUUGAACCGGACCACUAUGUAAACCAAAGAAAAGACGUCGAGUCUGUUGGAUUUAUCGUCGACUAGUAAACAAUUUAAAACCCAAGUCGAAGUGUGAUGCGUCCUCACGUAUAAGAAGACGAACAUUCAAGAUUAUUAUCUACCCACCAAAACGAUUAGUCAAGUUUCGAGUUUAUUGUUUUAAGGAGCGACCUAACAUAGCAAGAAAAAAUAACAAAAAAAAGAACUAACUAUAGUCGGUGAGGUUCAGGAAAAUAGGUCGGUACUAUCUCUAGGUAAGUUUAGUCAACAAGAUACAAAUGUGUAAGUCUAUAUGAUCAACCAGACGACUUUCUAUGCUAUACACAUGACAACUAUUAGAGUUUGUACAAAAUGAGUUGAAAUCUUUUGUACAUUAUAACAACACGACGAAACGUUACAGAGGUCGUCAGGAUGAAGAGGUACUACUGUUCCUGCUACAGCGGUACGCACGUACGAGAGGAAAGAAAGAGGAAGGCUCUGCCACUCCUCGAGGUCGUGGCGGCCGCGGCGGUACGUACGUACUAGGAUCACGGCGUGGCGGCCGCGGGUUGGGGAGGCGGGCGCUCGAUCCCAUGAUCCUGCGGGAGGAGUGGCGCCACAGGAACGACCGGCAGUCGCCACCUUCGCCCCACCGUCGGCCCUGGAACAGCACGAGCAGAGGCUGAUGACAGUUCCGGCACCUAAUGCGGGUUGUGUAACAAGGCGUUACUCGGUCCUGUCUCCAACGACCUAUGACAGCACGUGCGGCACUAGUUGGCACCGGUAACCGGUGGGGAAGCCAGUCAACAGAAAGGAACUAAACCAGAUAACUUUUAACUUAACAACUUAAAACUUGACUUGGCAACUUUUCAACGAAUACUUGGACUGGAAGACAAACUUAACUUGCCAACUUGACUACUUGAUGAUGGAGACUAGAACUUGACAACCUUACCUUUACAACUUAAACCAGCCCUGAAAUGACCCCUGUUUCAUAACAAAUCAAAGAUUAAAAUGUUUCUAGUACACGUUUUAUGAACUAUAUGUAUAUGUUUUCUUGACAUAUUUUCUAGUACCCACCCAAACGACUUCUGUACACAAGCACACAUAUAAAAAUUCGAGCCUCAUGAUAUAAUAUAAAUGCAUAGGAAGUUCUAUCACCUUGAAGAUUCCUUUAUCACACGAAAACAAACACAGGUAUAGUAUAGGGUCUAUCUGUAAUCAGAACAAGUAGUCAAGUAUCUAUUCGUGUAGAUAGUCGAGCCACACACAAGAUCUUUAUUAAGUCUAAAUAACCAAGUAUUUUAUUCGUGUUUUGACAAGAGCACGUACAUAAACAAAUGAAAGAAAAACUCUUUCAUGAACAAAUGAAAGAACAAACCUUUUAGCAAGUACCCACUACCAAGUAGCCUUGCCGGGUAUGAGAACGAGUGCCGGACCUAGACCGUAAACGGCAGCGGGACACGAAUUGGUCUCAGGGGCAGGAGGGGUAAGAGGUGACGUUGUUCGUCGACGAGACAGGACGAGCGUAGAAGACGAUGCACCACUGCGGAGAAACAUAAUUAACGUGUGUAGACUACACAAGAAUAUCAAUCUGUAAUCUACCUAGAAACGUAGCGUCUAGAAACGCGAUCCAACAAGAAUAAAUCAAACAAUCGUAGAAGGAGGAUAAAAAGAGUAACUAGUAAACCUUGUGCCGGACGAUAGUUCACAAAGAGAAUGUUAAAACAACAACUAAGAACCUGUGUCAUAUGAAAGAGCAUACAAAGUAAUUUAUCUCGUGUAGAUUUGGAUUCAGUCGUGAGUCAUUACAGUUAAAACACUACGUAGAAGAAAGGAACUUCUAGACGUCCUCAAAGCCGGUUCUUGGUAACAACCGGUCGUUCCACAGCGGAGUAAAAACACGUUGUUGCCGGUAACUCGAGCCAUUCGGAACGUGCUUGUCCGAAGUGUUACUACUUACGUACUUCUAGAAAGGUCCAGGACCGCUGACACUAUUUCCGUUCACGAAUACACCAAAAACGACUUCUUCUUACCGGAUCGAAUGGACCGCAUCGUCAUGAGUUUCAGUUCACAGCUACAACACCUUCGAAACUUUGAAAGGGAUCAACGAACUGAUGUUAUUGAUACGGAAAACUCUAACAUGGUAAACCAGUAGAGAACCGAAACAUAGCUUGAAGAUCAGUAGUACAAUGUUGACAAGCUACUUCUUUUAUGUAGUCAAUUUUUCGUAAGUCCACGAUUAUGACAUCGCUAGAGCAAGUGUCGGCGUUU